rnacentral:rRNA from 1 species
GACGGAGGAUGCAAGCGUUAUCCGGAAUGAUUGGGCGUAAAGCGUCCGCAGGUGGCAGUUCAAGUCUGCUGUCAAAGACCGGGGCUUAACUUCGGAAAGGCAGUGGAAACUGAACAGCUAGAGUAUGGUAGGGGCAGAGGGAAUUCCUGGUGUAGCGGUGAAAUGCGUAGAGAUCAGGAAGAACGUCGGUGGCGAAGGCGCUCUGCUGGACCAUAACUGACACUCAGGGACGAAAGCUAGGGGAGCGAAUGGG